UUCAUUCAGCACUAGCCACAGAAUGUUAAGCUUUACAAGAACAAAAAAAAGGUUUUUUGACAGACCCCAAAUAUUUGUUCUUGAUUGCUUAUUUGCUUUGGUGUUUUGGUGUUUUUUGUUUGGUUGUUUGGUUGGUUGGGGUUAGUUUCAGAUCUAAGGCAAGGCUUUGUUCUGUUAAAUACAUGCAACAUAUUUGUCAUGGUUUUGUGAUUUUUGUUAUUCCACAUUAUAAUAUCAUGGAGAAUUAUCAUGGGAAUAUCAUGGGAAUUAAAGUGUUAAUGUUCCAAUUCCAGGUGCCUGUAGUUAACUGAAUGGUCUGGGGCAGUCACCAGGGUCGACAGGGGCCCCUUGGCCCCUGGGAAACCAUGGCAACAAAUGUCUUGAAGAUAAGAGAGAACAGGUUAGACCAAAUAAGGAGGAAACAAGACAUGCCACAUGUCCAUUGGUCAGAGAUAAUGGUAGUAGCCCUAAGGCAUGGGGAAAGUUUUAAGAAGGGUGUGCUCCUUGCAAUUAGGUCCGUUUUGCCGCUCACCAUAUUGGUGUCAUGAAAAGCGUGCGAAACUGACCGGGGCUGUCGGAACACUUUCACAAGGAGACUUCAGUCAGGGUCGCCGAAACAAAGGCGACAAAUGGUGCCCCGUGGGAGGACGUCUCACCUGUGGAAGUGUGACAGCCGGCUGCGGGACAGACGCAGGAGCCUGCCGUGGUAAGGCGGCGGAAGAGCUGGAGGGGCUGAUCCCCUGGGGCUAAGAGCAGCGCUGGUAGCUGGUGGAAGGUCGCGGAGGGUUUGAAUUCCCUGGGCGACGAUGGAAUCCGUCAUUAAGGAUAAUUACAUGGUGAUUAAAGACCUAUCACCUGCUCCAAGUGGGAUGAAUCUCGCUUUGGCUUACCAAGGAAGGAACUUGGUAAGGAAGCUUUUGCAACAUGAUGACCUGCACCAAUCGCUGGAAACGCGUCAGAGACAAUGGACAGAAAACCUUGAUCACUGUUCACCAUGACACAGAAGAGAUACGUCGUGUCCUAGAGAGAGUAAAGAAGGACGGAGAGCACUACUGGUGGGAAGUACUUCUUGGAUGGUCUCCCACAGCGACAGGGACAUUUAACUCUGUACUGCAUCUGAUCGUAGUUGCAUUAGUUUUAGCAUUAUUCUAGGCUGUUAGGGUAGAACUAUCAGGCGCUUUGCGAUAUAACAGAGCAGGGUUUCACUGAGCAUGGGAGAGAUUUUGUGGCAGGCGAAGAAGGCGAGGACUCGGGAUGUGACGGGAUAGGACCUCCCCCUGCUCAGUGGUGUGAAACUUGCAUCUUAAUUUGUGUAUCUUGCUUCAUCAGCUGUCUGCAAUAACGUUUAAGCAAUCAACACUUGAAGUACCAUAGGCUUCUCGAAAGAUUGUAACCGGGUUCGUGUACGUAUUGUAACGGAUGUUUAACUAUGUUUAACUCUAUUCUGUAUUCAGUUAUAGUUGUAUUAGGUCUAAUAUUAAUAUGCUUUACGCUUAUAGUCAUAUAGAUAUAUAGGUAUAUUACAUAUAUAAGUAUAGUUUGUGCUGAAAUGAAUGAAUCAGCAUCAUCUAAGAAUGCAGUAUAUAGCUUUAUGUAGAACUCACGCUUAAGACAUUAGGAUUUUUAUGUUAAUAGGUCAUAGGGUUAUUAGGGUAGGAUUAUUUGGCGCAUUAUGAUGUAACGGGGCAACACUUAACUGAGAGGACAAUGGCAUGUAUAGGCGCAAUGCGGGGAUUUCGGGGUGUAUGCGAUUAGGGUCCUCUCAGGUUGUAGUAGAUUGGCCUGUGCUUAGGGAGGGGGAAACGUAGUUAACUGAAUGGUCUGGGGCAGUCACCAGGGUCGACAGGGGCCCCUUGGCCCCUGGGAAACCAUGGCAACAAAUGUCUUGAAGAUAAGAGAGAACAGGUUAGACCAAAUAAGGAGGAAACAAGACAUGCCACAUGUCCAUUGGUCAGAGAUAAUGGUAGUAGCCCUAAGGCAUGGGGAAGGUUUUAAGAAGGGUGUGCUCCUUGCAAUUAGGUCCGUUUUGCCGCUCACCAUAUUGGUGUCAUGAAAAGCGUGCGAAACUGGCCGGGGCUGUCGGAACACUUUCACAAGGAGACUUCAGUCAGGGUUGCCGAAACAAAGGCGACAGGUGCCUCUCUCUGUACAUUGCGUAAUUCAUGGGAUCUGGCCCUUCCUGAUUGGGCUGUCUCUUACUGCAUUGCAGGGGGUGUUGGAGUGUGCUUUCUUAGCCAUACCAAGCUCUUCAGGUUUGAUCCGUCUCAGGAAAUCUUUCUCUCUCCUAUUUUAUUUGAUUUAUUAGUCUCAAUUUCAAUUAGAUUGCAUUAUAUUGUGUUAUUUUAGAUUCCAAUAUCAUAGUUAGUAAAAUAAGUUUUCCUCCAUAGAUCAUUGCUGCUGGUUUUGUUUCCCUUCCUUGAGCCCACCUCCCGUCUCCCUACUCCUUUUCCCUUUUCCUUCCCAUUUAGUAGGGCCAGAGGGGCCCAAGGGCCUACUGCCCCGUCACAGACAUAGAUUGAUUAACUGUGUGACUAUUUCUAAUUUAUAUUAUAAAAUACGAUUUGUUUUUGUAAGCAAUAAACUUUUACAUUAUAAAACA